ACGUAGGGGGCAAGCGUUGUUCGGAAUUACUGGGCGUAAAGGGCGCGUAGGCGGCACAGCAAGUCGGGAGUGAAAGCCCGGGGCUCAACCCCGGAACUGCUUUCGAAACUGCUGAGCUAGAGUGCGGAAGAGGCAACUGGAAUUCCCAGUGUAGCGGUGAAAUGCGUAGAUAUUGGGAAGAACACCGGAGGCGAAGGCGGGUUGCUGGGCCGACACUAACGCUGAGGCGCGAAAGCGUGGGUAGCAUACGGGA
rnacentral:rRNA from 1 species